rnacentral:rRNA from 1 species
GAUGAGCGCUGGCGGUGUGCCUAAUACAUGCAAGUCGUACGCAUUCUCGUUUCUGAUUGACGGUGCUUGCACCUAAUUGACGAGACAUUGGAAUGAGUGGCGGACGGGUGAGUAACACGUGGGUAACCUGCCCAGAAGCGGGGGAUAACAUUUGGAAACAGAUGCUAAUACCGCAUAAAAGUCAAAACCACAUGGUUUUGAUUUAAAAGAUGGCCUUUGUGCUAUCACUUCUGGAUGGACCCGCGGCGUAUUAGCUAGUUGGUAAGGUAACGGCUUACCAAGGCAAUGAUACGUAGCCGAACUGAGAGGUUGAUCGGCCACAAUGGACUGAGACACGGCCCACACUCCUACGGGAGGCAGCAGUAGGGAAUCUUCCACAAUGGGCGCAAGCCUGAUGGAGCAACACCGCGUGAGUGAAGAAGGGUUUCGGCUCGUAAAACUCUGUUGUUAAAGAAGAACGUAUCUAAGAGUAACUGCUUAGGUAGUGACGGUAUUUAACCAGAAAGCCACGGCUAACUACGUGCCAGCCGCCGCGGUAA